rnacentral:rRNA from 1 species
AUGAAGCUUACUGAACACGUGUUCCCAUUUUUUCAUGAGAACGCAUCAUCCGGUGUCUACAUGAGCACACGUGCUAUUCUUUCUACCAAGAAUGAGCACGUGGACAACCUAAAUGCAAAGAUGAUUGACAGAUUUCCCGGCCAAGAAAAGGUAUACUAUAGCUUUGAUUCUGUCGAUGAUGAUACACGCAAUAACUACCCAAUUGACUAUCUGAACAACCUCACUCCAAAUGGCUUGCCUCCCCCUAUUUUGAAAGUUAAAAUUAAUUGUCCUGUCAUUCUGCUCCGAAAUCUCGAACCUAAUAAUGGACUUUGCAAUGGAACGAGAUUGAUGAUUAGAGCUUUCCAAAAUAACGCAAUCGACGCGGAGAUUGUUGGUGGACAACAUGCUGGAAAGAGAGUGUUCAUCCCUAGGAUCCCGAUGGCACCAUCGGAGGAUAUUUCACUUCUUUCAAGUUGA